ACCCCAGCCCCACCCCCUUUCCUCCAGGUGGAGCCUAGCUUCCACCCCAGCGUAUUGCGUAGGCGCCGGCGCCUAGGGGUGCGGGGGCGGGGCGGUGCCUAAGGUGGAGGGGAAAGAGGAGGAGCGGAAACCAUGACAACACCCUUCACUGGGCCUUGCUGUACUCGGGCCCCCCUGUUGCCCCUAGCAACUGGGAGACUUUGGCCAGCAAUAAUGCAGAGAUUGGAGAUAUAGCAGUGACAGGAUGAACUACAGGAUGAACUUUCACUACCAAGAAUUGGAGAGGUUGCAAGAGAAAUUCAAUCAACAACCCGAUGAAUCACUGGACUGCUAAAAGAGUCAUCUAAGUCUCCUAUCAAGCCCUUUAAAAAAUUUUAUUAAUAUAAUUGAAUUCUGAACAAUUAUUUUCCCAUCAACCAAGAAGCUCCCAAGGAGCAUUGGAAACCAUAUAUAGGAACUUCUCAGUCAUCAAGAUGUGUACUGUUUACAGAAUCUUCCUCACAAUAGAAGACUGGUUCUACAAAACCUUGUACUUGGGAAAUUCAUGAAGGAACACAUCAAGCCAGAACUAGCCAAGAAAUUUUCCCUUUUUUUGGAUAGAAGCCUGGAUUUUAGUAUCAUGCUGCCUUGACUAAUCCCUCUUCUCUAGCCAAAAAGUCAUAUUCUAGGAUUCUUUGACAUGGAGCAGAAGCUGGGAAACUUAGAAUAGUGAUGAAAUGAAAGGUGGAGAGUCACACUCUGUAUCUUUUGUAACACCCAAUUAAUGGGGAAUCAGGGGAGGGACUUAUUCAGGAUAAGAAAUAAAAGACUGCCUUUCCACUUUCAAAAAAUGUGUACUUGUUCUUACAAGAAUAUAAAAUAAAAUUUUUCUAGCAUUCAUGAGUGAGUCAGUGAAGUUCUUGGUAAGAUACUUGUCUCUUACAUUAGGAUCAAAUGAGAAAAUUGUAAAGCCUAAGGGCUUUAUGCUAAGGCAUAAUCCCUGCAGUGUAGUAGACACUAUAUAAAUGUUAGCUAAUUAUUAUAUCUAAGGGAACUUCAUGAAGACUACUCAAAAGAAGAAAAGAAAUUCCAGAACCAGGAACAGCUGAAAAACCCAGUUGUCCACACAUGUUCUCUACACAUGUGUCUUACUACUACUAUACUUUAAAUUUCUUUCCGGGACUUUGUAUGGGCAAAAGAAAAAUGUUUUUCCUGUUUGGGAGGAAUUUUUUGUACCAAUUGUGCUUUUUAUGUCUUCUCAUUAAAUUGGUUUGCUAAAGAAUACUGUGUCCACCCAAGAAAUCCCAGUCAUGUCCCUGAAGUUAAUGGCAUGAGUCUUGGAUUGAUUUUAUAGGGGGAAUUUAAUCUCAGGGACAUAUCCUGGGGUUUCUGAUAGGACAAAGCUGGGCUGUUCACCUUACCUUCACAGAAGUUGGGCCUCAGAUGUUUGACAUGAAUUGGAUUUCUUUGCUGGAUA